rnacentral:rRNA from 1 species
AUACGGGGGGAGCAAGCGUUGUCCGGAAUUACUGGGCGUAAAGGGCGUGUAGGCGGCUUGAUAAGUCAGAUGUGAAAGCCUUCCGCUUAACGGAAGAACUGCAUUUGAAACUGUCGGGCUUGAGUGCGAGAGAGGGUAGUGGAAUUCCCAGUGUAGCGGUGAAAUGCGUAGAUAUUGGGAAGAACACCAGUAGCGAAGGCGGCUACCUGGCUCGUAACUGACGCUAAGGCGCGAAAGCGUGGGGAGCAAACAGGAUUAGAAACCCGUGUAGUCC